UUUUUUCGUGUUUCGUCACACGUACACCUGAAAUAAAUUCUGGUUAAGAAGAAGAAUAUUUAAAUGAAUUUAUUUGGAGAUACGAAUAUAAUGGAUUAUGUAAUGGAUUGCAUGGUUGUUUAUUUAAGAAGCUUAAACGUAGAAAAAGUGUGAUGAAAGUUACUGGAAAUGUAAAAGAAACUUCUAAAAGAAAAUAUAAUAGCAUUAUUCGACAAAUUUUUGAAAGUUCUUAUAAAUCUGGAAUAAUGAGACAAGCGCAAUUAAAGCUAAGAAUCAGUAUCGUAGACGUCCAACUAGCAGCAUUUAACUAUUAAAGGAGACUACAUUCCAAAACUACAUACUCAUUAUCCAACGGAAGGCUCAUUCUUAUUAUCCUGAAAUUAUAAUAGAUAGCGCUUGUUAAAGUAAUAAUAUGGAACGUUUAAUAAAAUUCGUAAGCAAUUACGGUAG